rnacentral:lncRNA from 1 species
CUGAAAACAUAUGAAGGAGGCACUGUGCUGAAUUCACAAUGAACAAUUUUCAUUACUUAAAAAGAGGAAGUAAGCAUCUGCCAUAAUGACAGCAUUUUGGGCCAUUGAACUGGAACAAGAAGAAGCAAACCUAGGAAGAUAUUAUCCCGUUCCUGAGUUUAUUCCCUUAUGAACUAGGGCUGAGCAGAUUCAGUACAGCAUCUUUCAGCUAUUGAUUGUUAAACCAGAGCAUCAGCAACCUGAACAGUUUGCUGGCCUUGCCUGUGAUUCACAGACACAGCUAGACGGACUGCGUCAUGUGCCCUGACAAAACUACCUCCUGAACAGGAGA